rnacentral:rRNA from 1 species
CCUACGGGAGGCUGCAGUGAGGAAUAUUGGUCAAUGGACGCAAGUCUGAACCAGCCAUGCCGCGUGCAGGAUGACGGCCCUAUGAGUUGUAAACUGCUUUUGUACGAGGGUAAACCCCGAUACGUGUAUCGUGUUGAAAGUAUCGUACGAAUAAGGAUCGGCUAACUCCGUGCCAGCAGCCGCGGUAAUACGGAGGGUCCGAGCGUUAUCCGGAUUUAUUGGGUUUAAAGGGUGCGUAGGCGGUUUGAUAAGUGAGAGGUGAAAUGUCGGGGCUCAACCCCGGAACUGCCUCUCAUACUGGUGGACUAGAGAGUAGUUGCGGUAGGCGGAAUGUAUGGUGUAGCGGUGAAAUGCUUAGAGAUCAGGCAGAACACCGAUUGCGAAGGCAGCUUACCAAACUAUAUCUGACGUUGAGGCACGAAAGCGUGGGUAGCAAACAGGAUUAGAUACCCUUGUAGUC